rnacentral:rRNA from 1 species
CCUACGGGUGGCAGCAGUGGGGAAUAUUGCGCAAUGGGCGAAAGCCUGACGCAGCGACGCCGCGUGAGGGAUGAAGGUCUUCGGAUCGUAAACCUCUGUCAGCAGGGAAGAACGGUCACUGUGCUAAUCAGCAGUGAAUUGACGGUACCUGCAAAGGAAGCACCGGCUAACUCCGUGCCAGCAGCCGCGGUAAUACGUAGGUGGCAAGCGUUGUCCGGAAUUACUGGGUGUAAAGGGAGCGUAGGCGGGAAAGCAAGUUGAAUGUUUAAGGUACGGGCUCAACCUGUACAAGCGUUCAAAACUGUUUUUCUUGAGUGGAGUAGAGGUAAGCGGAAUUCCUAGUGUAGCGGUGAAAUGCGUAAAUAUUAGGAGGAACACCAGUGGCGAAGGCGGCUUACUGGGCUUUAACUGACGCUGAGGCUCGAAAGCGUGGGUAGCAAACAGGAUUAGAUACCCUAGUAGUC